rnacentral:rRNA from 1 species
ACACGUAGGGGGCGAGCGUUGUUCGGAAUCAUUGGGCGUAAAGGGCGUGCAGGCGGUCCUGCAAGUCCGGCGUGAAAGACCCCGGCCCAACCGGGGGGACGCGCUGGAAACUGCGGGGCUUGAGUACAGGAGGGGAUGCCGGAAUUCCAUGGGUAGGGGUGAAAUCUGUAGAUAUCUGGAAGAACACCAAUGGCGAAGGCAGGCAUCUGGCCAUGUACUGACGCUGAGACGCGAAGGUGCGGGGAGCAAACAGGUUUAGAUACCCUGGUAGUCCGCACAGUAAACGAUGUGCACCAGGUGGCGGGGGGUCGACCCUCGGUACCGUAGCUAACGCAUUAAGUGCACCGCCUGGGGAGUAUGCUCGCAAGGGUGAAACUCAAAGGAAUUGACGGG